GUACUAAAUGAAUUCGAAACAGUGAACCGGAGCGAGCAGGCGGCGUUCAGGCUCACGUCGGUCAGUGGCGUCGCGAGUGUUGUAAAGUCCACGUGCGUAUCGGGCUGUGUGUUCUGGGACAAUUUUGUGUGUUCUCGGUGAAGCAGGACUGCAUAACACUUACCCCAUGCCUGUUCAAGAAGUCCAGCAAGUGUGUUCACGGUGUGCCUGAGAUGGUUGACGCAGCGCGAUAGUGGCGGAGCUGGCUGCGAUGAGGGUGUGCUGGGUGUGUCCUCCUGUGAUUACCGAAUGCGCGGGUGAUGAGGCAAGCCAAACCUUCACACCAGCAGCAGCCAGCAGGAGAUACUUGGGUCGAGGGACGUGGCAUUAUAAUCGUCCUCUUGCAAAUCGUGUCUGCAGUAAUCCGAUCAGGUGUGCGUGGUGGUGGUGAUGGUGAAAGUCGACAAGAAGGAUAAGAACACUCAAACGCUGUCUCAUCUCACGAGGAGUUCCUUGGAUGUGUCCUGUGUUUGCUUCUUUGGUGGCGAAAGAUGUAGAAGCGUCUUGACAGGCAAUUACGAGGCGGUGGUGACGAGCAGCGCUAACACCACCACCACCACCACCACACUACCUCCUCAAUGUACACACAAGAUAGUUUGAAAAUCUCAGCAUCCACUGCAUAUUAGACAAAAUGAGAUGACAUAAGAACAUAAUUACGGUAAUUUCCUCCAUGCUUCACGCUACGCUAAAGGAUCUUAGAAGCUUAGGUAAAGAUAAAAAAUGUUCCUUUAUUCUUCCAGUGUGCAGUUUCCAAAAAAAGAAUAAAUGUAUCAACGUCCACUGAUGCAGUUUCUCGCUCACAUCAGCGCUGGGAAAACGCGACGCAAGGACACACUCCACAAGCCCUGGCCGAUCACACGCGCUCUUUGAUGCCGCGAGAAAGACGGCAAUCCUACUACACAGCGCGCCUCUUUUGAUGUGACAGAAAACCUUCUCUGCACACACUUGCUUCGUUGAUGUUGUGUUCAAUGGGAAUGUGGGUCACUCGUGUAUAUGUUUAAUCAAAUUUGUUUAAUUACGUGAAUAUGAAAAAGACCGCAAAAAUUUUACGUUAAAUUUACGACCACGCUUGCAUUUCUGUGUCUUCAUAGUGAUAUUUAUAAGGAACACGAUCUUGUUUUCUGAAUUGUUACAUGCGAGAAAAGCAGAAUUGAAACAGUUUGCAAGAAGGUGCAGUCAACAUUCCUAAGGUUCCUUCGCCCAUAACAAAACACUUGAAUUUUAACUAUGAGGUUCCAUAAGAUAUUUUUCCUUUAUAAACUUCACAUUUUUUUUUAUGGUAUUUGAAUGCGAUGAUUUUAGUAGUGCAGAUACUGAGGAAGUCGUAUUACUUAUUCCUACUAUAUUUAAUAUGUUAAUCACGAUGUUUAACUCAUUUCAUUUACAUUUUCUUGCAAUAUAUUUGUGUCCUGGUGAUUGCUUAGCGUAGGGAAAGCAAUACGGUAGUGCAGGACGCGACCCCUGAGUCUGUAACACUGUGUCUCGGCAAUGACGGAGGCAACGACGAGAAAUUACUGAUUAGUCUCCAGAUAUAUUUUAGAAAACCUUUUGCUGCAUUAAAUGUAACAUGUUUAAAGAGGAAUAUAUGAAGCUGUAAGUAGUAAUAAUAGUCUGUAAUAGUUAUUAUCAUUAAUUCUGCAACUACUACUACUACUACUACUACUCUACUACUGCUACUGCUACAGCUACUACACGAUACUACGUCUAAAUUCUGUUACGCUUACAAAAGGCUGAGUGAGAUAAGCACACUAAUGAAGUGAGAGAAAGAAGGGAGGGAGAAGUGAAGCGGGUGCAAGGGGAG